GGAUGUGAGGAUGACCUGGCUGCGACUCCUGUCACUCCACUGAUCAUCAAGGUUGAUUCGGCUGAUCUGGCUGGCUAGGUGGGUGUCCCCUUUCUCCCUCACCACUACAUGUGUGUCCUUCCCGAAACUGGACACUGGUUGAAGAGGGCAACCUUUGGUAUAGCAGUAGCUGCGCUUCCUUGCUAGAACAGGCUCCCAAGGUCCAUUUGAAAAGUCUCAGAUAUAAGUCUUCUGAGUGUUUGCUUCAUGGGGAGGUGUGGAGAAAGAG
rnacentral:snRNA from 1 species